rnacentral:rRNA from 1 species
UACGGAGGGGGCUAGCGUUGUUCGGAAUUACUGGGCGUAAAGCGCACGUAGGCGGCUUUGUAAGUUAGAGGUGAAAGCCUGGAGCUCAACUCCAGAACUGCCUUUAAGACUGCAUCGCUUGAAUCCAGGAGAGGUGAGUGGAAUUCCGAGUGUAGAGGUGAAAUUCGUAGAUAUUCGGAAGAACACCAGUGGCGAAGGCGGCUCACUGGACUGGUAUUGACGCUGAGACGCGAAAGCGUGGGGAGCGAACAGG